CUCGCCAGUUCAAUUCAGCUCUCAACGUGCAAGCGAGCAAUCUAGUGUCAUUAAAAGUCUUAAAGCUAAAGUUAGUAGUGUUAAUUGUGAAGAAGUUAUUAAAAAGCGGGUAGAGUGACCUAGCUUGGUCCAGCGCAUCUGAAACACUACAAAAUAAGUUGAAGUUAGAAGCAAGAAAAAGGUCCACAAAGGGGCCUUUUUCUUUGUAAUUAGCAGCUUUGUUCGGAGGAGGAACGCCAUCUUUAUUC